UUGCAGGUGAAAUUCUGUGCAAGAAAAUGUGAAGUAAAGCAUAAUGGCAAAAGAAUGUUACCUGUGGUUUAAUUUUGUGUGUGUUAACAAAAAAUUCUCAAUCUCUUUUACAGGUCUGUACAGAGAACUCUGAAACAGAAAGCAAGUUAGAAGAUAAUUUCUUUUGAUUGCGUUUUGGGCAUCUGCUGUUCCAAUUGGGCUCUUUUGGAAAGAAGCGUCCAGUGGGAUGAAUGCAAUUGGGGAGUCAAGGCAGAAGGAGUUUGAUACGAUUUGGAGUUCCAGGACUUGCUGAACUCACCCCUGGUGCUUUAGCUUUGGGAACAUUAAAUCCUUGCAGAUUGUUCUCCUACAACCUGUAAUGGCCUCAUGAGAGCUACUACUAGUCAUUUGCACAGCUCCAGUGUUGAGCCAGAAAUCUCCAGGUUUCCUGAGGGCAUCAAUCUCUGGAUUAAUAAGGCAACUUUCCACCAUCUCUUCUGGGAUAUCUGGUUGUGUCAGUAGAUGAAUAACUUUGGAAGUUCCCUGCAGAGAAGAGAGAGAGAAGAGCAAGAGCUGAGCUAACAGUAUCAGCAGAUGAGAAGGGUUUCUCUGGUGGUCAGUUCUGAAGACCAGGCUCCCACCUUUGGCUGCAUCUCCUGUAUUUCACUGCACUCACUGAUGUCCCUGCUCCGUGCACAUCAGAAGACACGCACGCUGAAACUGCCAUGCCUCUUCUAACAUCAGGGAAGAGACCAGGGUACAUCAUGCGUUAGCUCAGCUCUCGUGGGAACAGCAGGAUCAGUUGUUCAGAUGUCUUGAAGCCAUCUGCCAUGGGUACCUGAGGUUGCUGUCUACGCUGGGAGUCUCCCACGGGGAAACAGAAAAUAAAAAUUGUUUUUCACC
rnacentral:lncRNA from 1 species